UCCAAUAGCGUAUAUUAAAGUUGUUGCAGUUAAAAAGCUCGUAGUUGAAUUUCGGGGUCAGUAGGUCGGUCGUGCCACUGGUAUGAACUGGUUUCACUGAUUCCUCCCUCUUGUAGAACCGUGAUGCCAUUAAUUUGGUGUUGCGGGGAAACAGGACUGUUACUUUGAAAAAAUUAGAGUGUUUAAAGCAAGCUAACGCUUGAAUACAUUAGCAUGGAAUAAUGAAAUAGGACGUCUGUCUUAUUUUGUUGGUUUCUAGGAUGGACGUAAUGAUUAAUAGGGAUAGUUGGGGGCAUUAGUAUUCAAUUGUCAGAGGUGAAAUUCUUGGAUUUAUUGAAGACUAACUACUGCGAAAGCAUUUGCCAAGGAUGUUUUCAUUAAUCAAGAACGAAAGUUAGGGGAUCGAAGACGAUCAGAUACCGUCGUAGUCUUAACCAUAAACUAUGCCGACUAGGGAUCGGAUGAUGUUAAUUUUUUAAUGACUCAUUCGGCGCCUUACGGGAAC
rnacentral:rRNA from 1 species